rnacentral:SRP_RNA from 1 species
GCCUGGCGUGGUGGCACGCGCCUGUGGUCCCAGCUACUCGGGAGGCUGAGGCAGGAGGAUCGCCUGAGCCCAGGAGUUCAAGGCUGCAGUGACUUACAUUCAUGCCACUGCACUCCAGCCUGGGCAACAUGGGGAGACCCUGCCUCUA